rnacentral:rRNA from 1 species
CACGGGGGAGCAAGCGUUGUUCGGAAUCACUGGGCGUAAAGGGCGUGUAGGCGGUUCGGUAAGUGGAAUGUGAAAUCCCUCGGGCUCACCCGAGGACCUCGCAUCCCAAACUGCCGAGCUUGAGUAUGGGAGAGGAGUGAGGAAUUCCUGGUGUAGCGGUGAAAUGCGUAGAUAUCAGGAAGAACACCCGUGGCGAAGGCGGCUUCUGGGACGGUACUGACGCUGAGACGACGAAGCGUGGGGAGCGAACAGG